GGGAAUAUCACCUCCUAGGAAAUAUGCAGUAAGAUGGAUUGUGUGUCUAAAGGUUAAACUCUUUUUCCAACAGAUGGAUCUAGGCCGUAUGGAGGAUUCACUGCUUCUCAUACCUCCAGUGAAGAUGCAGAUAAAGUGGGAUGUUGUAAAUGUACUUCAUUUUAAUCAGGAAGAAGCUGCUAUGGUGAAUUUAAAACUUGUAAUGCCAUUAGAUGAGCUUCUAGCACAGUUUCAGUCAUGUUACCAUGAGGAUUGGUGUGACCUGUUCCAUAUUCCGUGGUCCAUUAUUUGGUGCUGAAAGAGACCAUCUACCUCCUAGAAGUGUGUGGUGGGUCUCUUCCAAAUACUCCUGAAGGAAACUUUACUUCUCCUGGCUAUGAUGGAGUCAGGAAUUACUCGAGAAACCUAAACUGUGAAUGGACUCUCAGCAAUCCAAAUCAGGGAAAUUCAUCUAUUUAUAUUCAUUUUGAAGAUUUUUACCUAGAAAGUCACCAAGACUGUCAAUUUGAUGUCCUUGAGUUUCGAGUGGGUUUGUUAAGAGCCUGGUAAGAAGUGCAAGAUUGACAAAGGUAAGGUUAGUAGCGGAGGUAAGUGAAAGCUUGAAUAUAGGAAACCUUGGACCACUUGCC
rnacentral:lncRNA from 1 species